UAUCUCAACUCUAUCAAAAUCAUAUACUAAUGUUUACUAAUGCUAAUAAUUUCUCGUUAUUUAAUUUAAUCUAUAAAUUUUAUCCAUUUGAUUUCGAAGUGAUCAGAAAAAUAUGGAGCUUUUUCGUUUACGUCAAAACAUUUUUUUAAUUGGCGAUGUUGACGUCCAAAUAGUGGGUAAUAAAUUACCAUCGAAAUUGCAAGCUUGAAAGUGUUUUUUUUUUCAUACACGUAUUUUAAAUACUUCUAUCCCAGAAGGUAUUGCUGCAGUCAUUGAUGAAAUUAUUGUGUUUUGGAAAAAAGCUCAAAUUCCUGUUCAAGAUGUGCAAAGAUGCCGAGAUAAACUGAAAAAAUUCUACGAUGAGUGGCGCAUACUUGUCAACGCACAAAAUUCGGAGUGACGUGGCUGUAAAAAACAACAUGAAUUUGUAUGUUCAUUGAAAAAAUUAUUUGACAUUGCACCGUCAAAUGAAUUUGACGUUAUCGAUGAAAAUUCUAAAGAAUCCUUGAUUAAUCAAAGAUCAGAUGAACGCAUUGGUUUUAUUGCAAAUAUUAAAACGAGAUAUGAUGACGAUGAUAAUGAUAAUAAAUUGAACAAAAAAAUCCAGUUAGAAAAACAAAAAAAAAACAGAGUGAAGAAGAAAAAACAUUAUUAGACAAAAAUGUUGAACUUUUAUCUAGCCAAGGAAGUGCGCUAUCUGCAUCGGGUGGAGAAAUAUACUUUUCAAGUACUAUCAGAUUAUCAGAAUAAAAAAAAAACAAGAGGAAGUGAUGAUAUUAUCAGCGAAAGAGUUGUAGCUACAUUAGAUCGGUGUAAAGUAACCCUGGCGAUUUUAGCGCCACGGUGACCUUACAGUAAAAACACCGUUAAAACACCGUGGAACGACUGUGAAAACGUGGUUGUAAUGCAGUGAAAUCACGGUAUUUUUUGUGCAGUCACGCCACUGUAUUCCGACCGCGUUUCCAUUGCACUUAAAGAGUGUUUCCACGGUGUUUCGAUCGUAAGGUCACAGUAAUCUCACGGUGGUUUUACGGUAAAACCACCGUAAAACUACGGUGCGCUCCACAGUGGUUUUCAGCGAUAUCCACGUAAGUUCAUCGUUCCAUGGUGUGUCUAUAAAUUUUAUAGCGAAAAAAAAAAAAAUUCACGCCGACUCGGUGGAUCGAUCCCAGCGCCUUCGCAUUCAAAGUCUGAUCUGCUAUCCACUGUGCCAAAUCACACACUUGAAAGAAUAGAUUGAUUGUAUUUACAUAAACACAAAUGAACUUUGGAAAAUUAAAGAUAUCUAAUAAAUGAUUGAUUUUCUGAUUUGUAUUACAUUCAAUUAUAUAAUUGUUUAUAGGGUAACGAGACCAAUACCGGUAUACCCACUAGU